GAUCGGACCGAGGGGGGCUCCGCGAAGGAGCUGAGAUGUCGCCAUGGGCUGAGGCCCGCCGUGACGGACCCUUUGAACCUGAUCCGGCUAAAACCGGCGGAGGGACGGGGAAUAUUCGACGG
rnacentral:ncRNA from 2 species